CUUUUAAGGACUUGCUACUUCCUUGUUUAGAAGAUUUGAGCCUUUAGUACUCCCUUAGAUGGGGGGGAAUCACAUACACAGACAUGGCAACAGAUGAGGAAUUCAUGCCAAGUCGUGCACAGAAGGCACCAUGACUCCUGUGAAGGUCCAGAGCUCCUUGCAGGGUGGACCUACAUAGUGCUGUCAUCCAGCUGGACCUGCAGUGAGAGGAAGCCAUCCAGCAGGUGGUUGACGCCCUGCAGUACCCGCAGAAGGUCUUGGGAGACAUCUUUAGCAGGUAGAUGCUACCACCCACCCCACCU
rnacentral:lncRNA from 1 species